CUCUGUGACUCCUACGGGAGGCAGCAGUGGGGAAUAUUGCACAAUGGGCGCAAGCCUGAUGCAGCAACGCCGUGUGAGUGAAGAAGGUUUUCGGAUCGUAAAACUCUGUCCUAAGGGAAGAAACAAAUGACGGUACCUUAGGAGGAAGCCCCGGCUAACUACGUGCCAGCAGCCGCGGUAAUACGUAGGGGGCAAGCGUUAUCCGGAAUCACUGGGCGUAAAGGGUGCGUAGGCGGCUUAGCAAGCCAGGGGUGAAAGGCAUUGGCUCAACCAAUGUAAGCCUUUGGAACUGUUAAGCUUGAGUGCAGGAGAGGUAAGUGGAAUUCCUAGUGUAGAGGUGAAAUUCGUAGAUAUUAGGAGGAACACCCAGUGGCGAAGGCGACUUACUGGACUGUAACUGACGCUGAUGCACGAAAGCGUGGGUAGCGAACAGGAUUAGAUACCCUGGUAG
rnacentral:rRNA from 1 species